UUUCCUGCUGGCUGCGGGUGCUCUGACUAGGUUGCACUACUGUGCUGUGAGAAGCAGUGCAAUGGUAUUGUCAAAGCAUCUGGGACCAGCCUCGAAG
ensembl:miRNA Mir301b microRNA 301b